UACGUAGGGGGCAAGCGUUGUCCGGAUUUAUUGGGCGUAAAGAGCUCGUAGGCGGUGUGUCGCGUCGGCCGUGAAAACCUGGGGCUCAACUCUGGCGUGCGGUCGAUACGGGCAUCACUUGAGUUCGGCAGGGGAGACUGGAAUUCCUGGUGUAGCGGUGAAAUGCGCAGAUAUCAGGAGGAACACCGGUGGCGAAGGCGGGUCUCUGGGCCAAUACUGACGCUGAGGAGCGAAAGCGUGGGGAGCGAACAGG
rnacentral:rRNA from 1 species